rnacentral:rRNA from 1 species
GACGAACGCUGGCGGCGUGCUUACACAUCAAGUCGAACGAAGAGCGACGGAAGCUUGCUUCUAUCAAUCUUAGUGGCGAACGGGUGAGUAACGCGUAAUCAACCUGCCCUUCAGAGGGGGACAACAGUUGGAAACGACUGCUAAUACCGCAUACGAUCUAAUCUCGGCAUCGAGGAUAGAUGAAAGGUGGCCUCUACAUGUAAGCUAUCACUGAAGGAGGGGAUUGCGUCUGAUUAGCUAGUUGGAGGGGUAACGGCCCACCAAGGCGAUGAUCAGUAGCCGGUCUGAGAGGAUGAACGGCCACAUUGGGACUGAGACACGGCCCAGACUCCUACGGGAGGCAGCAGUGGGGAAUCUUCCGCAAUGGACGAAAGUCUGACGGAGCAACGCCGCGUGAGUGAUGACGGCCUUCGGGUUGUAAAGCUCUGUUAAUCGGGACGAAAGGCCUUCUUGCGAAUAGUGAGAAGG